AGCGAACGCUGGCGGCAGGCUUAACACAUGCAAGUCGAGCGGGCAUAGCAAUAUGUCAGCGGCAGACGGGUGAGUAACGCGUGGGAACGUACCUUUUGGUUCGGAACCACACAGGGAAACUUGUGCUAAUACCGGAUAAGCCCUUACGGGGAAAGAUUUAUCGCCGAAAGAGCGGCCCGCGUCCGAUUAGCUAGUUGGUGAGGUAAUGGCUCACCAAGGCGACGAUCAGUAGCUGGUCUGAGAGGAUGGUCAGCCACAUUGGGACUGAGACACUGCCCAAACGCCUACGGGAGGCAGCAGUGGGGAAUAUUGGACAAUGGGCGCAAGCCUGAUCCAGCCAUGCCGCGUGAGUGAUGAAGGCCCUAGGGUUGUAAAGCUCUUUUGUGCGGGAAGAUAAUGACGGUACCGCAAGAAUAAGCCCCGGCUAACUUCGUGCCAGCCGCCGCCGUAAUAC
rnacentral:rRNA from 1 species